GGGGAUCGAAGACGAUCAGAUACCGUCGUAGUCUUAACCAUAAACUAUGCCGACUAGGGAUCGGACGGUGUUAUUUCUUGACCCGUUCGGCACCUUACGAGAAAUCAAAGUGCUUGGGCUCCAGGGGGAGUAUGGUCGCAAGGCUGAAACUUAAAGAAAUUGACGGAAGGGCACCACCAGGGGUGGAGCCUGCGGCUUAAUUUGACUCAACACGGGGAAACUCACCAGGUCCAGACACAACGAGGAUUGACAGAUUGAGAGCUCUUUCUUGAUUUUGUGGGUGGUGGUGCAUGGCCGUUCUUAGUUGGUGGAGUGAUUUGUCUGCUUAAUUGCGAUAACGAACGAGACCUUAACCUGCUAAAUAGUCCGUAUUACCCCGGUAGUACGCCGACUUCUUAGAGGGACUAUCGGCUCAAGCCGAUGGAAGUUUGAGGCAAUA
rnacentral:rRNA from 3 species